AGUUCGAUCAUGGCUCAGAUUGCAACGCUGGCGGGAUGUUUACACAUGCAAGUCGAACGGCAGCACGGACUUCGGUCUGGUGGCGAGGGCGAACGGGUGAGUAAUGUAUCGGAACGUGCCUAGUAGUGGGGAUAACUACGCGAAAGGUAGCUAAUACCGCAUAAUGCCCUUCGGGGGAAAGCGGGGGACCUUCGGGCCUCGCACUAUUAGAGCGCCGAUAUCGGAUUAGCUAGUUGGUGGGUAACGGCUCACCAAGGCGACGAUCCGUAGCUGGUUUGAGAGGACGACCAGCCACACUGGGACUGAGACACGGCCCAGACUCCUACGGGAGGCAGCAGUGGGGAAUUUUGGACAAUGGGGGAAACCCUGAUCCAGCCAUCCCGGGCAAAAGAUGAAGGCCUUCGCUGUAAAGUUAAUUUUUGGUGAGGAAAGAAACGGCACGGGAUAACACCGUGCAACUGACGGUACCUGCAGAAUAAGCACCGGCUAACUACGUGCCAGCAGCCGCGGUAAUACGUAGGUGCAAGCGUUAAUCGGAAUUACUGGGCGUAAAGCGUGCGCAGGCGGCUCCUGGAAAGAAAGAUGUGAAAUCCCAGAGCUAACUGGAACUGCAUUUUUAACUACCGAGCUAGAGUGUGUCAGAGGGAGGUGGAAUUCCCGCGUGUAGCAGUGAAAUGCGUAGAUAUGCGGAGGAACACCGAUGGCGAAGGCAGCCUCCUGGGAUAACACUGACGCUCAUGCACGAAAGCGUGGGGAGCAAACAGGUGGGAUUAGAUACCCUGGUAGUCCACGCUCCCAACGAUGUCAACUAGCUGUUGGGGCCUUCGGGUCGGGUAGCGCAGCUAACGCGUGAAGUUGACCGCCUGGGGAGUACGGUCGCAAGAUUAAAACUCAAAGGAAUUGACGGGGACCCGCACAAGCGGUGGAUGAUGUGGAUUAAUCUGAUGCAACGCGAAAAACCUUACCUACCCUUGACAUGUCUGAAUCCCGAAGAGAUUUGGGGGAGGCGUCGCAAGAGAACCGGAACACAGGUGCUGCAUGGCUGUCGUCAGCUCGUGUCGUGAGAUGCUGGGUUAAGUCCCGCAACGAGCGCAACCUUGUCAUUAGUUGCUACGAAAGGGCACUCUAAUGAGACUGCCGGUGACAAACGGAGGAAGGUGGAGACGUCGGGUCCUCACGGUCUCUUAUGGGUAGGGCUUCACACGUCAUACAAUGGUCGGGACAGAGGGUCGCCAACCCGCGAGGGGAGCCAAUCCCAGAAACCCGAUCGUAGUCCGGAUCGCAGUCUGCAACGCGACUGCGUGAAGUCGGAAUCGCUAGUAAUCGCGGAUCAGCAUGUCGCGGUGAAUACGUUCCCGGGUCUUGUACACACCGCCCGUCACACCAUGGGAGUGGGCUUUACCAGAAGUAGUUAGCCUAACCUGCAAGGAGGGCGAUUACCACGGUAGGAUUCAUGACUGGGGUGAAGUCGUAACAAGGUAG
rnacentral:rRNA from 1 species